rnacentral:misc_RNA from 1 species
GUUAACACCAUUAAGGCCCCAGUGGCAUCAAUUCCUCCUUCCUUCCACGCAUCUCCACUCAUGUAAUAAACAUGGCACCCAAUGAGGUAACCAAAUCCCAGAAUGAACGUAAGGAUUCCACAGUAGGGGCGAAACAGAAGCAUGGAAGCGUAACCCAACAACAUGGGCACCAAAAAAUGAAGAUUUGAAUAAAACCCGAAUGAGAGAUACGAAAGAAAAGCCCCAGACAAGGCCGCGAAUAGGUGCUUUCCGAGUUUACCAGGGACGAGUCGAUGGAUGAAACUCACUGGAAUCGUCACCACGAAGCAGAGCAGGAACCGCAGCACAGGGAUAGAUACCCCGAUCACCGCGGACAUGGAUUCCAUGUCUAAACCCAUAUUCAAUUCGUGUGCUGCGGUGCGUCCACUUUGGAUCGUACAGGCGAGUGAACUUAACUGGGUGGCUUCUCUGGACUCACCGAGUUAACAACCAGUUUAAGCAGGCUGCUCUCCUGGGAAGGCAGAAAACAAACCAAAAGGGAGUUAAAAGUUUCUGAGAUUUGUGCUUUUC